GGCUGAGACAGUUGGUAACUGGCCUGCUAUCACUGAGGUUAAGGUUUCACUCUGGCACUCCAGAGGCAGAGACAGUAUGCUGAGGCAGUGUGUGACACCAUGAUUAGAGGACAGCGGCUCUUGUCUAUUCCUCAAAAACCCAGCAUACUGCAGCACCAGCCAUGAUGUCAUGGUCAAACUGGUCAAGCAUGGCACCCUAUCCCAGAUCCUGACUUUGUAUUUGCAACAUGUCCUGGAUCCUUGACCACCAGCAGCAGAUGGUGCAACGAACUUUCUGACCAAGAUGUGAAAGUGUUUCCGCUGAGCCUUGAGAUGUGAACAUAUAUUGCGCCUGUCAUCUGGACGGAACAACUUGAGGAAGGGCCAUCCAUAUUCCCGCUCCCUAACCAGGACACUGCUAAGGUGAAUAUGAGGAGUAAGUCCAUCUCUGACUCCUUUUCCCUGAAGGGCUUCACUGCCCUGAAGGCAGCACACCUGUGUAUGCCCUGCCUGUGACGUUACUGAUACAGACCAAAUGGAGAGAGCAGCAUGACCGAUGCCUGCCCUGUGGACUACACUGAUAGUCUAAGAUCAAGAAAAGCACCAAGGGCUGUCAUGGCAGUGAGUCAAAGCCAAAGUAAGCAGAGAUGAGGAGGAGGAAAGGAGAAACUUGAUGGAGUGAGGAGAGCAUUGGCAUCCAUUUUGGAAGGCCAUGCCCACUGCAAUAGGUAAAGCAGAGUAGCUUCUCUCCAGGAUCCUGGACCUAACGGCAGAAGUUUCGGGCGAUCCCUGACCAGGCUCCAUGGAGGCAGAGCAUCAUGCCGUGAGUUAGCUCGGUACAGGAGUUCACUAAUCUAAGCUUAGGAACAGAUUAUGUACUCCAGGGCAUGCUAAAUGCCGGUUGAUGCCGCACAUACCUUAAUAAUUUAAAUGACACACAGAGGAGAGGACAUUAUCUUUUAGCAGACUCCACAGGUGCCUGCCUCACAGUGUGACAAAGAAUACUACCGAGUAUGGCUUAGACACCACAGUGGACACUGACUUGUUGCCAGACCUUGGGCACAGGGCACACAUGCAACUGUGUGAGAUUCAAAGCUCCUUCAUGUAGACUGUAUAUCAAAGUACUGCUGGGAAGCUAUGUACAGUUCAGUCAGUGUUAGCAGGGGUCACGUGUGGAAAGAAUAUAGAAUAACAGAGUUGCUUUUCCUUCCAGCCUACGUGCCUGGUCUCCUUCAUAUGAGCCAUUGCUUCUUAACCUUUGUAACUCUGCAGCCAUUUAAUGCAGGUAUUCAUGUUGUGGUGACCUCCACACCCCUACACACAACCAUAAAAUUACCUUACUGCUACUUCCAAGCUUCCUAGUUUUCUACUGCUAUGAAUAAUAUUGUAACUAUCUGAGAUGCAGGAUAUCUGAUAUAUAAGCCCCAAAGUGGUUGUGAUCCUCAUUGAGGACCAACUCUCAGAGCAGCUCGUGCAGGGCUGUCAGCUUGGCUGAUCCCCUGACACCUGAGAGGGCCUGGUGUCCGAGGGUGGCUCACAGCUCCCUGCCACAAUGUUCUCUCCUCUGUGAUGAGACAGCUAUACUGCGGAAGUGUGAUGGUGCAGGG
ensembl:lncRNA